rnacentral:ncRNA from 1 species
CCUUGAUAAGGGCAAACCUGUCGAAAGGCAGGGACGCAAAGCUACAGGUCUAAAGCAUUUUGCUAAGACAGCUGGGUUGCCGGG